UACGUAGGGUGCAAGCGUUGUCCGGAAUUAUUGGGCGUAAAGAGCUCGUAGGCGGUUUGUCGCGUCUGCUGUGAAAACGCGAGGCUCAACCUCGCGCCUGCAGUGGGUACGGGCAGACUAGAGUGUGGUAGGGGAGAUUGGAAUUCCUGGUGUAGCGGUGGAAUGCGCAGAUAAUCAGGAGGAACACCGAUGGCGAAGGCAGAUCUCUGGGCCAUUACUGACGCUGAGGAGCGAAAGCGUGGGGAGCGAACAGG
rnacentral:rRNA from 1 species